ACCACUGCUCUUUGGGUAGUAGAGAUAGUUUUUGAAACUGGAGCAAAGAAUCAUUGUCUGGGACUUGAGAGAAAAAAAAAAUUUGAGAAGUGCUGCAUGGAUGUCAUGUGACUGGGUGAUCUGAAGACUCUGAAGACACCUUUCAGGGAUGCUCGAUGGCAUGAACACAUAUGUAUGUAGGAAAGCAAAGAAAGCCAGUGGUG
rnacentral:lncRNA from 1 species